ACAGACAAGUAUCGUUUUCACAUUAGAGGACGGUUCUUCUGCGCUUCCUGAUGCACUUUCUGUUUUUAUCUGGAAUCAAAUCAAACUUUUAAAGAUUGAAAGUCGUCCAUUGAAGAACCAACCUUUGCAAGCAUCAAAGAAUAACAGUAAAAGCAAUGGGUACGUACAUUGUAUGAUAUCCACAUAUAUAGUUUCAGGGAGAUGAAUUGGCAAUGUUAUUUUUGGUUGGUAGAUACUUCAAUUACCUUUUCUACGCGGACGUUGAAGCAUCAAUGGCUGAUCAAACGACACAAACUGCUCUCAAACAUCUCAAGGAGCUUUCGACAUUUUUACGGGUUCUAGGUAGCUAUCCAAUGGUAUGAGCCACAAUCUUAUUCAUCAUAAAGGAGGUCCAUCACCCAAGCCACGUGGUGAUAAAUAUAUGAUAUACAUUCUAUGACAAUUAUCGAGUGUUUUAUACACCUAAUACAAAAAUAAAUACGAAAUAAAAUUCAAAAUUGUUAUUGGCUUUUAUAGAGGUUGUGAAACAUCAUCAAUAUAAUUGCAGCAACUAUACAAAUCAAUAAAAUUAAAAUAUAAAAAACAAUAAACAUAAUGACAAAAUUUACCACUUUUUUUUCUCUUUAUCUUCUCCUAUC